rnacentral:lncRNA from 1 species
AAACAGUCAUGAUACAGAGAGACAAACAGUGUAACAAAGUUAUAUACAGAGUGCUGUUUCCGGGGACACAGGGUUAGGGAGGGAAGGUCACAGAAGCGACAUUUGCCCUGUGUCAUAAAGGAUUAGUAAGAGGUUUCGAGUCAGAGAAGUUUGGGGAAGGCCAUUCCAGGCAGAGACAGAGGGCGCAAAGGCCCAGUAACGUCCACGUGAAGCUGGGAAAGGGACAGAAAUGGAAAACAUGCCUGGAGUCAGAUUUUUGGCCUAUCUAUUAGGUAACAGGGA